CCUACGGGCGGCAGCAGUGGGGAAUAUUGGACAAUGGGGGCAACCCUGAUCCAGCCAUGCCGCGUGUGUGAAGAAGGUCCUCGGGUUGUAAAGCACUUUCAGUGAGGAAGAACGCCUGGUGGUUAAUACCCAUCAGGAAAGACAUCACUCACAGAAGAAGCACCGGCUAACUCCGUGCCAGCAGCCGCGGUAAUACGGAGGGUGUGAGCGUUAAUCGGAAUUACUGGGCGUAAAGCGCGCGUAGGUGGCUUGAUAAGCCGGUUGUGAAAGCCCCGGGCUCAACCUGGGAACGGCAUCCGGAACUGUCAAGCUAGAGUGCAGGAGAGGAAGGUAGAAUUCCCGGUGUAGCGGUGAAAUGCGUAGAGAUCGGGAGGAAUACCAGUGGCGAAGGCGGCCUUCUGGACUGACACUGACACUGAGGUGCGAAAGCGUGGGUAGCAAACAGGAUUAGAUACCCUGGUAGUC
rnacentral:rRNA from 1 species